GAUGAACGCUAGCGGCAGGCUUAAUACAUGCAAGCCAAGGGGGUAGCAAUACAACCGGCGCACGGGUGAGUAACGCGUACACAACAUACCAUAUACUGGGGUAUAGCUUCGGGAAACUGGAGAUAAUCCCCCAUAACAUUGCGAGAGGGCAUCUGAUUGCAAUUAAAGUUUCGACGGUAUAUGAUUGGUGUGCGUUUGAUUAGCUUGUUGGUAGGGUAACGGCCUACCAAGGCGACGAUCAAUAGCUGGCGUGAGAGCGCGACCAGCCACACUGGAACUGAGACACGGUCCAGACUCCUACGGGAGGCAGCAGUAGGGAAUAUUGGACAAUGGGCGAAAGCCUGAUCCAGCCAUGCCGCGUGAUAGAUGAAGGCCCUCUGGGUUGUAAAUAUCUUUUAUCUGGGAAGAAACUCCUCUAUUCUUAGAGGCCUGACGGUACCAGAGGAAUAAGCACCGGCUAACUCCGUGCCAGCAGCCGCGG
rnacentral:rRNA from 1 species